rnacentral:sRNA from 1 species
AAUAAGAGAUGGAACA